rnacentral:misc_RNA from 1 species
GCUCAAGGCUGCUCUCAACCCACCAUGGACGCGGGUGAUUGGAGGACCCAAUUGCGACCCGAUUCUCGACAAAGGAUUGUCAAUAAGAUAAUGGACACUUUGAAGAGGCAUCUUCCCUUUACUGGAGAAGAGGGACUGCUUGAACUCAGGAAGAUUGCUGUAAGGUUUGAGGAGAAGAUCUACACUGGUGCCACAAGCCAGUCUGAUUAUCUGCG